GUUUCCUCCAAAGCACCAUCUUUGAAUUUCUGCUACAGGAGAGGUUGAAGCCCCAUCUCAGUUUUAAUUCUGUGUGUGACACAAAGUGAAUUCAACAUUUCUUGCAGUACUGAGACUCCUAGACAGAUGCUUUCACUCUGGUUUGGUAUGUAUAAUCAAAACAUCUUCUCUGCCAUAAACAGAAACCUAUUUG